GACGAACGCUGGCGGCGUGCUUAACACAUGCAAGUCGAACGGAAAGGCCCUGCUUUUGUGGGGUGCUCGAGUGGCGAACGGGUGAGUAACACGUGAGUAACCUGCCCUUGACUUUGGGAUAACUUCAGGAAACUGGGGCUAAUACCGGAUAGGAGCUCCUGCUGCAUGGUGGGGGUUGGAAAGUUUCGGCGGUUGGGGAUGGACUCGCGGCUUAUCAGCUUGUUGGUGGGGUAGUGGCUUACCAAGGCUUUGACGGGUAGCCGGCCUGAGAGGGUGACCGGCACAAUGGGGAUGGAUGACGGGCCGAGCCUCAGAGGGGGGGAGAAGGGGGGGAGGUUGGAACAAGGGGGGGAAGCCGGAGGCAGCAACGCCGGGUGGGGGAGGAGGGCCUUCGGGUUGGAAACCGCUUUCGCCUGUGACGAAGGGGGGGGGAGGGGAAGGGGUAAAGAAGCACCGGCUAAUUACGU
rnacentral:rRNA from 1 species